GAUGAACGCUGGCGGCGUGCCUAAUACAUGCAAGUCGAGCGACCAGACGAGGAGCUUGCUCCUCUGACGUUAGCGGCGGACGGGUGAGUAACACGUGGAUAACCUACCUAUAAGACUGGGAUAACUUCGGAAAACCGGAGCUACUACCGGAUAAUCUCUUGAACCGCAUGGUUCACUAGUGAAAGACGGUUUUGCUGUCACUUAUAGAUGGAUCCGCGCCGCAUUAGCUAGUUGGUAAGGUAACGGCUUACCAAGGCAACGAUGCGUAGCCGAACUGAGAGGGUGAUCGGCCACACUGGAACUGAGACACGGUCCAGACUCCUACGGGAGGCAGCAGUAGGGAAUCUUCGGCAAUGGGCGAAAGCCUGACGGAGCAACGCCGCGUGAGUGAUGAAGGUCUUCGGAUCGUAAAGCUCUGUUAUUAGGGAAGAACAAAUGUGUAAGUAACUAUGCACGUCUUGACGGUACCUAAUCAGAAAGCAACGGCUAACUACGUG
rnacentral:rRNA from 1 species